GUGCUUGCUUCGGCAGCAUAUAUACUAAAAUUGGACUGAUAUAGAGAAGAUUAACAUGGCCCCUGUGCAAGGAUGACACGCAAAUUCAUGAAGCAUUCAAUAUUUUU
ensembl:snRNA U6 U6 spliceosomal RNA